ACAUUAUUUUGACGUUUUGAAUACAUUUAGUAGUUUUUGUGAUCACAUGAUCGCAUUUUUAUUUAAAACAAUUCAUAUUACAUACUUGAAAUGAUGCGUUCCCGUCAGUUUUUUUUAAAUCACUUUCUUAAAUAUUUAAAUGUCCUUGAUGUUCAACAUUAAAUUCUAUCCGAUGAUCUACAAGCGAAGUAAAUUGUUCCUUCGAAAUAAGAAUAGCUGUCGGAGCACCGUGGUUCAAGAAGAGCUUGGAUCCUCAUGACGACUUGAAGUUGGACUCCAUUAGUAAGCAGCUACAGUCGCCAUCAGUGCGCCUUUUUGAGGAAGCUGCGCGACACGAAAACCCGCUAGUCGUGGCCGCCGGUAAUUACAAAUCCGAGCCUGCGGACCGAAUGGUGAACAGUCGUCGUCGCCCUAAGGCCUAAACGCGUCAUUUCGAUCCUCCCGAACCACUAGCUUUGUGUUUUUAGGUACCUCAACGACCGAGUCGAAGCCGAAGGGUUCGACGAGCAAAUUAUUAAGGCUCAGACACAGCCCACUGAGCUUUUCACCGGAUCUUCUCAGUGGGUCACAACUCCGAUUCAGUGGUAGAUUCUGCGAAGCACUGCUCUUGCUAGGGCUAGUGUUAGCAAAUUCUCUCAGACUGAGGCCGUAGUUGACGAGUUCGACGAAGACGGUGACCGGUGAUAAGAAGAUUUACGUGUCGUGCCGCUUUGUUGAAAUAGCGUUCUGACGCUUCCUUGAGCUACUUACGUAUCGGUAAUAGAUUUAGGUCGGCGUGAAAAUCUACAUUCCUCACAUACCACGGUGCUCCCACGACUAUCCUGCAGAAACGGGAUAGGGUGAUCCGUAGAGAGUUAACGUGUGUACGGGCCGCGUUAGCGAACACUUCGCUUGCAUAGGUCAUGACAGAACGUAUGCAAGUUUUGUAGACUGUCACCUUGUUAGGAAGGGACAAUUUACUUCGCUUGCAGAUCAUGGAGUAGAGUCGAACGAGGGGUUGCGUACUGACUUAAUGUGGGGUCCGAAUGUCAUCCCCGUCUUGAGAGUGACGCCUAAGUACUUAGCCUUUGAAGCCCACGGUAUGGGCUGGCCAAAGAUUUUUAUGGCGGGAACGGAGUUAACGCCCCUAAUUGGUGACGAGAUAUUAGCAGUAGUGUCGGGGCGACCCUUUUUGAAGAGCACGGCUGUGUUUUCGUGGGCUUGAUGUCAAAUUUUCCCUCGUUCAAAUCAACGAGAUGCGAAAAUUGAUAGUCAACCAUAAUGUGAAUGUGAGGCCAAAAUUAAGACAAACUCUAUUCACAAAUAAUAAAAACGUAACUACAUGUAACAUUACCAUAUAACUUUAUUGGACUUCAAAACAAAGUUCAAGUCGGAUCUGCUAUUAAUAGAAAUCUGUAAAAUUCGCUAAAAAGUUCACUAGCCUUACAUUAAAUAAUUAUAGAUGGUCUUUUGAAAAUCUUUAUCUUUAACAUUGAAAAGAAAAUUUUUUGAGCACGCGUAGAAAAUGAUUUUCAUUUCACCAUUUCGUCUGGUCAUAAAUUUAUGAAAACUUAAUGAGUGCACGAAUCAGUGAAUGAAUGACGAAACGAAUUGGUAGGUAGUGCUGGAAUGAAAAAAAAAACCUUGGAACUAUUUGAAACAUUUCACAAUAUUCUACGUUUUGGAUUGGUACCUAUAUGUCGUAUUGUCUACGAGCUCCGAUAAAUAUUUAUCAUUCAAUUCUGAUUUAAGGCAUAGAACUUUUUAAACUAUUAAAGUAUUUUGUAUCCUGCACAUAAUUUCAUAGACAAUUAACAAUUGUGUCCUAGUCAUAGAGUAUCUGCUUUGGUUCCAAAUUCCAAUUUUGCAUCAAAGUAUCCAAAGAUUCGCCGGUGUUAAUUAGUAUGUAUUGUUUUUAUUCAAUGUUAUAUUUAAAUUUAAUCAAAGGUUUUAAGUCUAUUUUUGGUUGUUAAGGGUAUACUGAAGUAUAUUUUUUAAAAUUAUUUUUCUUCAGAUGAUAAUUUUUAUGAAAGAAUUAAAUAAACAACUUUAUUUGCUUUGAAUUUUA